ensembl:snRNA U4 U4 spliceosomal RNA
AGCUUUGCGCAGUGGCAGUAUCGUAGCCUAUGAGGUCUAUCCGAGGCGCGAUUAUUGCUAGUUGAAAACUUUACCCAAUACCCCACCUUGACGACUUGAAAUAUAGUCGGCAACGGCAAUUUUUGACAGUCUCUAAGGAGA